rnacentral:rRNA from 1 species
CCUACGGGAGGCAGCAGUGGGGAAUUUUGGACAAUGGGGGCAACCCUGAUCCAGCAAUGCCGCGUGAGUGAAGAAGGCCUUCGGGUUGUAAAGCUCUUUUGUCAGGGAAGAAACAGCAGCUCUAACACAGCUGUGAAUGACGGUACCUGAAGAAUAAGCACCGGCUAACUACGUGCCAGCAGCCGCGGUAAUACGUAGGGUGCAAGCGUUAAUCGGAAUUACUGGGCGUAAAGCGUGCGCAGGCGGUUAUAUAAGACAGGUGUGAAAUCCCCGGGCUUAACCUGGGAAUUGCAUCUGUGACUGUAUAGCUAGAGUGUGUCAGAGGGGGGUAGAAUUCCACGUGUAGCAGUGAAAUGCGUAGAUAUGUGGAGGAAUACCAAUGGCGAAGGCAGCCCCCUGGGAUAACACUGACGCUCAUGCACGAAAGCGUGGGGAGCAAACAGGAUUAGAUACCCUGGUAGUCCACGCCCUAAACGAUGCUGACUAGUUGUUCGGGAUUUUAUCCUGAGUAACGUAGCUAACGCGUGAAGUCAGCCGCCUGGGGGNGGACGGUCGCGAGAGUAAACGUACGAAGAAGUAGAGCGNGAGAGNGCGAGGACGACGACGAGGGAGGAGG